CUUUCAGUGCUGACGGUGCCAAAGCACUCAUAGCCAACAGCUCCUCUGGUGCUGAGAAACUCCUGGAUUUCAGGCAGGUAGUACAGUUUUACUGAUGUUGUUUUGCAUGGUAGCAGGGGAGGUCAGCUACUACAGCUCUGUCCAAGCUUGACUGAUGUUGGUUGAUGAAAGAUUCAACAUGAGCCGGCAAUAUGCGCUUGCAGCCCGGAAGGCCAACUGUAUCCUGGACUGCACAAAGAGAAUUGUGACCAGCAGGUUGAGGGAGGUGAUUCUGCCCCUCUACUCUGCUCUCGUGAGACCCCACCUGGAGUACUGCACCCACUUCUGGGGACAAGAAGGAAAUGGAGCUGUAGGAGUGGGUCCCAAGGAGGGCCACAAAGAUGAUCAGACGGCUGGAGCACCUCCCCUGUGACAACAGCCUCUCUCCUUUAGACAUUGGAAGGCCACUUUCAGUUCUUCCUGAAGACUUCUCUUCUCCUGGCUGAAGAGCCCCAAUUCUCUCAGCCUGUCAUCAUAGGAGAGGUGUUCGAUUCCACAGAUCAUUUUUGUGGCCCUCCUCUGGGUGUGCUCCAACAGGUCCAUGUCUCUCCUGUACCGAGGACACCACAUUUGGAUGCUGUUCUCCAGGUGAGGCCUCACAAGCCCAGAGUACAGGAACAGGAUCACCUCCUCUGACCUGCUGGCCAUGCAGGUUACCCAGCUUCUGAAGCCUUGGAAUUACAUUUUUUUUUAAGACUUUUUCUUUUUCUUCUCGUUUUUUUUUCUG
ensembl:lncRNA